CCCUCCAUGCAUGGAACGCUCAACGAGUCAAACCGCAAACGCAGACAGUUCACACUUGUACGGUUUGUCAGUAAAAUGAACCACCAGUCUCAUCGACAACUGUACGUACAGCAUGGAGAUUUAGAAAUCAGGCAUGUCAAGUUCAAGAACGAAAGCCCUCUUAUUCAAGCUAUGUUUCAUUGCAUAUUGGAUAAACCUACGUAGAGUCAACCGUUAGUCAGAACUAUUGUUGGUGAGAUGCCAGAGCCCUGACCGAGCCUAUGGAGGCUUUGACAAACACAAUUGAAUGAAGUGACUUGUUACCUCAAUGAAAAAUAGAGAGAUCCCCAUAUCAUGUUUUAUUUUCUCCA